UCUCCGUUGGUGAACCAGCGGAGGGAUCAUUACUGGAAUCGCAAGAUCCCACAACCCUGUGAACCUACCGAAACGUUGCCUCGGCGGGCGCCCGGCCUCUGCGCCGGGCGCUGCGCCCGCCGGCGGCCCCCUACUCUGUCUCUGCAGCGUGGCAUCUCAGAGUCCCAGAAAACAAGUCAAAACUUUCAACAACGGAUCUCUUGGCUCUA
rnacentral:misc_RNA from 1 species